GCCGGGGGCCGCCGGUCAGCGCCGGGAGCUGCCGGGCCGGCCGCACCGCCGCCAACUCCUGGGGAGAGCGAGCCCAGCGCGGAGCCGAAGCCGGGAGCGCCCCGCCAGCUCCUACUCCAAAUGAUGGCAAGAAAAAGGGGAAAGAAGAGCAGGAACAGGAGCUGUGGAAACACAGACAUUAUGUACUCCACCAAGGAGAUCCCCUUCUUGUGUUGUUUUAGCACUGUGGGUGAGCCCCCACUCUCAGUUUUUUUUCAAGUGAACUUUAUAAAGAAAUCUUACUAAUUUUAAA